UACGGAGGAUGCGAGCGUUAUCCGGAUUUAUUGGGUUUAAAGGGUGCGCAGGCGGUCUGUUAAGUCAGCGGUCAAAGCCCGGGGCUCAACCCCGGCCCGCCGUUGAAACUGGCAGUCUCGAGUUGGAGAGAAGUAUGCGGAAUGCGCGGUGUAGCGGUGAAAUGCAUAGAUAUCGCGCAGAACUCCGAUUGCGAAGGCAGCAUGCCGGCUCCGCACUGACGCUGAGGCACGAAAGCGUGGGUAUCGAACAGG
rnacentral:rRNA from 1 species